GAUGAACGCUAGCGGGAGGCCUAACACAUGCAAGCCGAGCGGUAUUGUUUCUUCGGAAAUGAGAGAGCGGCGUACGGGUGCGGAACACGUGUGCAACCUGCCUUUAUCUGGGGGAUAGCCUUUCGAAAGGAAGAUUAAUACUCCAUAAUAUAUUGAACGGCAUCGUUUAAUAUUGAAAGCUCCGGCGGAUAGAGAUGGGCACGCGCAAGAUUAGCUAGUUGGUGAGGUAACGGCUCACCAAGGCGAUGAUCUUUAGGGGGCCUGAGAGGGUGAUCCCCCAGACUGGUACUGAGACACGGACCAGACUCCUACGGGAGGCAGCAGUGAGGAAUAUUGGUCAAUGGGUGCAUGCCUGAACCAGCCAUCCCGCGUGAAGGAUGACUGCCCUAUGGGUUGUAAACUUCUUUUGUAUAGGGAUAAACCUACCCUCGUGAGGGUAGCUGAAGGUACUAUACGAAUAAGCACCGGCUAACUCCGUGCCAGCAGCCGCCGUAA
rnacentral:rRNA from 1 species